AUUGAACGCUGGCGGCAUGCUUUACACAUGCAAGUCGAACGGCAGCACGAAAGAGCUUGCUCUUUUGGUGGCGAGUGGCGAACGGGUGAGUAAUGCAUCGGAACGUACCGAGUAAUGGGGGAUAACUGUCCGAAAGGAUAGCUAAUACCGCAUACGCUUUGAGAAGGAAAGUGGGGGCUCUUCGGACCUCACGUUAUUCGAGCGGCCGAUGUCUGAUUAGCUAGUUGGUGGGGUAAAGGCCUACCAAGGCGACGAUCAGUAGCGGGUCUGAGAGGAUGAUCCGCCAAACUGGGAUGGAGAAACGCCCCAGACCCCUACGGGAGGCAGAAGUGGGGAAUUUUGGCAAAGGGGCGAAAGCCUGUCCCAGCCAUGCGGCGUGUUUGAAGAAGGCCUUCGGGUUGUAAAGGACUUUUGUUAGGAAAGAAAAGGAUAGGGUUAAUACCAUUAUCUGCGGACGGUACCUAAAGAAGAAGCACCGGCUAAUUACUU
rnacentral:rRNA from 1 species